UGGGGAAUAUUGCACAAUGGGCGAAAGCCUGAUGCAGCGACGCCGCGUGAGGGAUGACUGCCUUCGGGUUGUAAACCUCUUUCAGCAGGGACGAAGCGAAAGUGACGGUACCUGCAGAAGAAGCACCGGCCAACUACGUGCCAGCAGCCGCGGUAAUACGUAGGGUGCAAGCGUUGUCCGGAAUUAUUGGGCGUAAAGAGCUCGUAGGCGGCUCGUCGCGUCGGCUGUGAAAACCUGGGGCUCAACCCCGGGCCUGCAGCCGAUACGGGCGAGCUAGAAUUCGGUAGGGGAGACUGGAAUUCCUGGUGUAGCGGUGAAAUGCGCAGAUAUCAGGAGGAACACCGGUGGCGAAGGCGGGUCUCUGGGCCGAUAUUGACGCUGAGGAGCGAAAGCGUGGGGAGCGAACA
rnacentral:rRNA from 1 species